rnacentral:rRNA from 1 species
UGGGGAAUUUUGGACAAUGGGGGAAACCCUGAUCCAGCAAUGCCGCGUGUGUGAAGAAGGCCUUCGGGUUGUAAAGCACUUUUGUCCGGAAAGAAAACUUCUGCCCUAAUACGGCGGGAGGAUGACGGUACCGGAAGAAUAAGCACCGGCUAACUACGUGCCAGCGGCCGCGGUAAUACGUAGGGUGCGAGCGUUAAUCGGAAUUACUGGGCGUAAAGCGUGCGCAGGCGGUUCGUUAAGACAGAUGUGAAAUCCCCGGGCUUAACCUGGGAACUGCAUUUGUGACUGGCGAGCUAGAGUAUGGCAGAGGGGGGUAGAAUUCCACGUGUAGCAGUGAAAUGCGUAGAGAUGUGGAGGAAUACCGAUGGCGAAGGCAGCCCCCUGGGCCAAUACUGACGCUCAUGCACGAAAGCGUGGGGAGCAAACAGGAUUAGAUACCCUGGUAGUCCACGCCCUAAACGAU